rnacentral:tRNA from 1 species
GGUCAUGGCUCAGUGGUAGAGUGCUUGCCUAGCAUGCAUGAGGCACUGGGUUCAAUCCUCAGCACCA